CCCGGAUUCAGGUUUUGGCACAUAUGCCAUGUUGACCGCCAUGGUCAUUUUACCCUAAAACAGUUGAGAUUACCUGUCCUAAAUGAAACGCAUACAAACUCAUAUACAGGUCCUAGACUACAAACAAAAUUCUCAAUACUAUUGAAAUUUAAUACAACGCAAUAGCGAUAUUAAACUUCAAUCAUAGUUUAAUUAUUUUCAAUCUAUUAUCGUAAUUCACCUUUUCCACCGGUUUUUAUACCUUCAAAAAGUUGCAAUGACGCUAAUUUUGUAGGAAAUAACAUUUAGUUAUAAAUUUGUAAAGGAAAUCUUGAUAAAAUCUUGACCCAAGCUCGCAAGCCAAGCGCCGUGCGGAAGUAAAGACCCUGUCUUGCGAGGUUGACCUUGACCUUGUUAUUACCGUCGCUUGCAACUAACGAUGAACGGUCGUUAAUUAAAGCAUUGCCUACUCGCGUGAGAAUUUUAAGUUUACUUGUUUUGACAUAAUAGCUAUUUUUCAGUAAAUAUCUUGAUGUUAAACUUAUUGAAUCAAUAUUUUAAGUUUCAGGCCAGUUGUACCAAAAGUUAUUAGCACUAGCGCAUCAUAAGGUUUCAGAUGGCAUGCAACGUGUACGCAUUGCGUACCUAUUUUU